GAUGGCUGAUGGAUAGAAAAUAGAUAAAUAUGGAUGCAUGGGUGGAUAUUAAUGAAUCUGCACAGACCCGUGUGUGGAUGGAUGGGUGAUAAAUGAAUAGGUAGGUGGACGGAUGAGUGAAUGGGUAGAUGGGUAGAUGGAUGGAAAUGAACAGAUGGAAAUGGUUGGAUGGGUGGAUAAAUGGUUGGAAGGAUGGAUGGAUGGGUGAGUGGGUAGAUGGAUGAUAAAUGGAUAGGAAGGUGGAUGGAUGAGUGAAUGGGUGGAUGGGUAGAUGGAUGGAAAAACAGAUGGAAAUGUUUGGAUGGGUGGAUAAAUGGUUGGAAGGAUGGAUGGAUGGAUGGGUAAAUGGGUGAUAAAUGGAUAGGUAGGUGGAUGGAGGAGUGAAUGGGUGGACGGGUAGAUGGAUGGAAAAUGAACAGAUGAA
rnacentral:lncRNA from 1 species